GUCGAGAAUCUUCCGCAAUGGGCGCAAGCCUGACGGAGCGACGCCGCGUGCAGGAUGAAGGCCUUCGGGUUGUAAACUGCUGUCACAUGUUAAGAAUGGACGGAUGUUAAUAGCAUCCGGACUGACGAAGGCGUGAAAGGAAGUCACAGCUAACUACGUGCCAGCAGCUGCGGUAAGACGUAGGUGGCAAGCGUUGCUCGGAAUUACUGGGCAUAAAGGGCGUGUAGGUGGCCUGGCAAGUCGGCAGUGAAAUCCUAUGGCUCAACCAUAGAAUGGCUGUCGAUACUGCUUGGCUUGAGGGCAGGAGGGGAGAGUGGAACUCCUGGUGUAGCGGUGAAAUGCGUAGAUAUCAGGAGGAACGCCGGUGGCGAAAGCGACUCUCUGGACUGCUUCUGACACUGAGGCGCGAAAGCUAGGGGAGCAAACAGGAUUAGAAACCCGGGUAGUCC
rnacentral:rRNA from 1 species